rnacentral:rRNA from 1 species
UUCUUUAAGAAAUUUUUUAAAGUAAAACCUGCUCAAUGUAAAAUAAAUAGCCGCAGUUAACUGUGCUAAGGUAGCAUAAUCACUAGCUUUUUAAUUAAAAGAUAGAAUGAAUGGUUAUAUGAAAUAUCAAUUGUUUCUAUUAAAAAUAAUAAAUUUAAAAAUAAAGUCAAAAUUCUUUUAACAUUUAAGAAAGACGAUAAGACCCUGAAAAACUUAAUAUUUUGCUGGGGCGGCAAAUAAAAUAAACCUUAAUUAAAAAUUUCUCCAAAAAACUAAUACUUAUUAAUAAUAAAGUUACUACAGGGAUAACAGCGCAAUUUUUUUUAAAAGUUCAAAUUAAAAAAAAAGUUUACGACCUCGAUGUUGAAUUAAUACUCUUUACUAAGAGCAAUAUCUAUAAAAGAUAGUCUGUUCGACUAUUAAAUAAUU